rnacentral:rRNA from 1 species
UACGUAGGGACCGAGCGUUGUCCGGAAUCAUUGGGCGUAAAGAGCGUGUAGGCGGCCACUUAAGUCCUGCGUGAAAUCUUGCGGCUCAACCGCAAGCGGUCGUGGGAAACUGGGUGGCUAGAGUGCGGGAGAGGAGAGUGGAAUUCCUGGUGUAGCGGCGGAAUGCGCAGAUAUCAGGAAGAACACCCGUGGCGAAGGCGGCUCUCUGGAACGCAACUGACGCUGAGACGCGAAAGCGUGGGGAGCAAACAGG